rnacentral:rRNA from 1 species
CCUACGGGUGGCAGCAGUGGGGAAUAUUGGGCAAUGGAGGAAACUCUGACCCAGCAACGCCGCGUGAAUGAUGAAGGUCUUCGGAUUGUAAAGUUCUUUUCUAAGGGAAGAAGAAAGUGACGGUACCUUAGGAAUAAGCCUCGGCUAACUACGUGCCAGCAGCCGCGGUAAUACGUAGGAGGCGAGCGUUAUCCGGAAUUACUGGGCGUAAAGGGUGCGUAGGUGGGUUGGCAAGUUAGUAGCGAAACUCCAAGGCUUAACCUUGGAACUACUACUAAAACUGUUGGACUUGAGUGCAGGAGGGGCAACCGGAAUGCCUAGUGUAGCGGUGGAAUGCGUAGAUAUUAGGAGGAACACCAGUGGCGAAGGCGGGUUGCUGGACUGUAACUGACGCUGAGGCACGAAAGCGUGGGGAGCAAACAGGAUUAGAUACUCUUGUAGUC